rnacentral:rRNA from 1 species
UACGAAGGGUGCAAGCGUUACUCGGAAUUACUGGGCGUAAAGCGUGCGUAGGUGGUGAGUUAAGUCUGUCGUGAAAGCCCCGGGCUCAACCUGGGAAUGGCGAUGGAUACUGGCUCGCUAGAGUGCGGUAGAGGAGAGUGGAAUUCCCGGUGUAGCAGUGAAAUGCGUAGAUAUCAGUCGGAACACCGGUGGCGAAGGCGGCUUCUUGGGCCCUACCUGACGCUGAGGCGCGAAAGCCAGGGGAGCGAACGGG